rnacentral:rRNA from 1 species
UGGGGAAUAUUGCACAAUGGGCGCAAGCCUGAUGCAGCCAUGCCGCGUGUGUGAAGAAGGCCUUCGGGUUGUAAAGCACUUUCAGCGAGGAGGAAGGGUUCAGUGUUAAUAGCACUGUUCAUUGACGUUACUCGCAUGAAGAAGCACCGGCUAACUCCGUGCCAGCAGCCGCGGUAAUACGGAGGGUGCAAGCGUUAAUCGGAAUUACUGGGCGUAAAGCGCACGCAGGCGGUUUGUUAAGUCAGAUGUGAAAUCCCCGCGCUUAACGUGGGAACUGCGUUUGAAACUGGCAAGCUAGAGUCUUGUAGAGGGGGGUAGAAUUCCAGGUGUAGCGGUGAAAUGCGUAGAGAUCUGGAGGAAUACCGGUGGCGAAGGCGGCCCCCUGGACAAAGACUGACGCUCAGGUGCGAAAA